UACGGGGGGGAGCAAGCGUUGUUCGGAUUUACUGGGCGUAAAGGGCGCGUAGGCGGCGUGACAAGUCACUUGUGAAAUCUCCGGGCUUAACUCGGAACGGUCAAGUGAUACUGUCGGACUAGAGUACAGAAGGGGCAACUGGAAUUCUCGGUGUAGCGGUGAAAUGCGUAGAUAUCGGGAGGAACACCUAUGGCGAAGGCAGCUCGCUGGGACGUUACUGACGCUGAGACGCGAAAGCGUGGGGAGCGAACAGG
rnacentral:rRNA from 1 species